rnacentral:rRNA from 1 species
GCCUAAAGCGUCCGUAGCCGGCUUUGUAAGUUUUCGAUUAAAUCUAUAUGCUCAACAUAUAGGCUGCCGGAAAUACUGUAAAGCUAGGGAGUGGGAGAGGUAGACGGUACUCCGUAGGAAGGGGUAAAAUCCUUUGAUCUAUGGAUGACCACCUGUGGCGAAGGCGGUCUACCAGAACACGUCCGACGGUGAGGGAUGAAAGCUGGGGGAGCAAACCGGAUUAGAUACCCGGGUAGUCCCAGCUGUAAACUAUGCAAACUCAGUGAUGCAUUGGCUUGUGGCCAGUGCAGUGCCGCAGGGAAGCCGUUAAGUUUGCCGCCUGGGAAGUACGUACGCAAGUAUGAAACUUAAAGGAAUUGGCGGGGGAGCACCACAAGGGGUGAAGCCUGCGGUUCAAUUGGAGUCAACGCCAGAAAUCUUACCCGGAGAGACAGCAGGAUGAAGGUCAAGCUGAAGACUUUACCAGACAAGCUGAGAAGUGGUGCAUGGCCGUCGCCAGCUCGUGCCGUGAGGUGUCCUGUUAAGUCAGGUAACGAGCGAGAUCCUUGCCUCUAGUUGCUACCAUUACUCUCAGGAGUAGUGGAGCGAAUUAGCGGGACUGCCGUAGUUAAUACGGAGGAAGGAGAGGGCCACGGCAGGUCAGUAUGCCCCGAA